rnacentral:rRNA from 1 species
GAUGAACGCCGGCGGCGUGCCUAAUACAUGCAAGUCGAGCGAACAGACGAGGAGCUUGCUCCUCUGACGUUAGCGGCGGACGGGUGAGUAACACGUGGAUAACCUACCUAUAAGACUGGGAUAACUGCGGGAAACCGGAGCUAAUACCGGAUAAUAUAUUGAACCGCAUGGUUCAAUAGUGAAAGACGGUUUUGCUGUCACUUAUAGAUGGAUCCGCGCCGCAUUAGCUAGUUGGUAAGGUAACGGCUUACCAAGGCAACGAUGCGUAGCCGACCUGAGAGGGUGAUCGGCCACACUGGAACUGAGACACGGUCCAGACUCCUACGGGAGGCAGCAGUAGGGAAUCUUCCGCAAUGGGCGAAAGCUUGACGGAGCAACGCCGCGUGAGUGAUGAAGGUCUUCGGAUCGUAAAACUCUGUUAUUAGGGAAGAACAAAUGUGUAAGUAACUAUGCACGUCUUGACGGUACCUAAUCAGAAAGCCACGGCUAACUACGUG